UACAGAGGUCUCAAGCGUUGUUCGGAUUCAUUGGGCGUAAAGGGUGCGUAGGUGGCAUGGUAAGUCGGAUGUGAAAUCCCGGGGCUCAACCCGGAACUGCAUUCGAUACUGCUGCGCUAGAGUACUGGAGAGGAGAUUGGAAUUUACGGUGUAGCAGUGAAAUGCGUAGAUAUCGUAAGGAAGACCAGUGGCGAAGGCGGAUCUCUGGACAGUUACUGACACUGAGCACGAAGGCCAGGGGAGCAAACGGG
rnacentral:rRNA from 1 species